UGUAAGCGUAUACCAAAGUUGUUGCAGUUAAAACGCUCGUAGUCGGAAUUUGGCAGUUCCGGAAGUGUGCACGUCGUGUGCGCACUUUGCGGGGACUGCUUUUGUGGUCUUGCGUAGGAUGAGGCACUUUCAUUAGUGAACGUCCUCACGCAACCACUCUUUACUGUGAGAAAAUCAGAGUGCUCAAAGCAGGCAUUUGCCGUGAAUGUAUUAGCAUGGAAUAAUAGAAUAGGACUCGGGUCUAUUUUGUUGGUUUGUUGGGACUGAGUAAUGAUUAAGAGGGACAGUUGGGGGCAUUUGUAUUCCGGCGCUAGAGGUGAAAUUCUUAGAUUGCCGGAAGACAAACUGCUGCGAAAGCGUCUGCCAAGGAUGUUUUCAUUGA
rnacentral:rRNA from 1 species